rnacentral:other from 1 species
ACAGUCCUGAUGUGUUCGUUGUACACCUAGUUUUGACCUAACAUUUUUUAUACGGGAGCUUGGGUUUCUGGACCUGCGUAAAUGCCUCUAACUCGUACUUGAGGACUUACAAACCUCUGGAAUAAAGCACCCACCUGCUAAGGGCGGGAUCAAAACGAGGGAAACGGCGACGGCACGAUUGGGACUACU